rnacentral:rRNA from 1 species
GACGAACGCUGGCGGCGUGCUUAACACAUGCAAGUCGAACGGAAAGGCCCUGCUUUUGUGGGGUGCUCGAGUGGCGAACGGGUGAGUAACACGUGAGUAACCUGCCCUUGACUUUGGGAUAACUUCAGGAAACUGGGGCUAAUACCGGAUAGGAGCUCCUGCUGCAUGGUGGGGGUUGGAAAGUUUCGGCGGUUGGGGAUGGACUCGCGGCUUAUCAGCUUGUUGGUGGGGUAGUGGCUUACCAAGGCUUUGACGGGUAGCCGGCCUGAGAGGGUGACCGGCCACAUUGGGACUGAGAUACGGCCCAGACUCCUACGGGAGGCAACAGUGGGGAAUAUUGCACAAUGGGCGGAAGCCUGAUGCAGCAACGCCGCGUGCGGGAUGACGGCCUUCGGGUUGUAAACCGCUUUCGCCUGUGACGAAGAGUGAGUGACGGUAAUGGGUAAAGAAGCACCGGCUAACUACGUG